UACGUAGGGUGCAGGCGUUAAUCGGAAUUACUGGGCGUAAAGCGUGCGCAGGCGGUUGUGCAAGACAGAUGUGAAAUCCCCGGGCUCAACCUGGGAACUGCAUUUGUGACUGCACGGCUGGAGUGCGGCAGAGGGGGAUGGAAUUCCGCGUGUAGCAGUGAAAUGCGUAGAUAUGCGGAGGAACACCGAUGGCGAAGGCAAUCCCCUGGGCCUGCACUGACGCUCAUGCACGAAAGCGUGGGGAGCGAAC
rnacentral:rRNA from 1 species